CCAGGCCUCCUAUUCAACAACACCAGAUCGAUCACGCACAAAAUGGAUGAACUACAAAUACAUACGGAACUGCUGCAUGGUAUUUUGUCUGAACA